rnacentral:rRNA from 1 species
GGGCGUUAAGUUGCAGGGUAUAGACCCGAAACCCGGUGAUCUAGCCAUGGGCAGGUUGAAGGUUGGGUAACACUAACUGGAGGACCGAACCGACUAAUGUUGAAAAAUUAGCGGAUGACCUGUGGCUGGGGGUGAAAGGCCAAUCAAACCGGGAGAUAGCUGGUUCUCCCCGAAAGCUAUUUAGGUAGCGCCUCGUGAAUUCAUCUCCGGGGGUAGAGCACUGUUUCGGCUAGGGGGCCAUCCCGGCUUACCAACCCGAUGCAAACUGCGAAUACCGGAGAAUGUUAUCACGGGAGACACACGGCGGGUGCUAACGUCCGUCGUGAAGAGGGAAACAACCCAGACCGCCAGCUAAGGUCCCAAAGUCAUGGUUAAGUGGGAAACGAUGUGGGAAGGCCCAGACAGCCAGGAUGUUGGCUUAGAAGCAGCCAUCAUUUAAAGAAAGCGUAAUAGCUCACUGGUCGAGUCGGCCUGCGCGGAAGAUGUAACGGGGCUAAACCAUGCACCGAAGCUGCGGCAGCGACGCUGAUGCGUUGUUGGGUAGGGGAGCGUUCUGUAAGCCUGUGAAGGUGUGUCGUGAGGCAUGCUGGAGGUAUCAGAAGUGCGAAUGCUGACAUAAGUAACGAUAAAGCGGGUGAAAAGCCCGCUCGCCGGAAGACCAAGGGUUCCUGUCCAACGUUAAUCGGGGCAGGGUGAGUCGACCCCUAAGGCGAGGCCGAAAGGCGUAGUCGAUGGGAAACGGGUUAAUAUUCCCGUACUUGGUGUUACUGCGAAGGGGGGACGGAGAAGGCUAUGUUGGCCGGGCGACGGUUGUCCCGGUUUAAGCGUGUAGGUGUGUGUUCCAGGUAAAUCCGGUUCACUUUAACACUGAGGCGUGACGACGAGGCACUACGGUGCUGAAGCAACAAAUGCCCUGCUUCCAGGAAAAGCCUCUAAGCAUCAGGUAACAUCAAAUCGUACCCCAAACCGACACAGGUGGUCAGGUAGAGAAUACCAAGGCGCUUGAGAGAACUCGGGUGAAGGAACUAGGCAAAAUGGUGCCGUAACUUCGGGAGAAGGCACGCUGACACGUAGGUGAAGUGAUUUACUCAUGGAGCUGAAGUCAGUCGAAGAUACCAGCUGGCUGCAACUGUUUAUUAAAAACACAGCACUGUGCAAACACGAAAGUGGACGUAUACGGUGUGACGCCUGCCCGGUGCCGGAAGGUUAAUUGAUGGGGUCAGCGUAAGCGAAGCUCCUGAUCGAAGCCCCGGUAAACGGCGGCCGUAACUAUAACGGUCCUAAGGUAGCGAAAUUCCUUGUCGGGUAAGUUCCGACCUGCACGAAUGGCGUAAUGAUGGCCAGGCUGUCUCC